rnacentral:rRNA from 1 species
CUACGAAAACUGCACAAUGUGGGAAACCACGAUGCGGGUAUUCCGAGUGACAACGCAUUGCGUUGUCUGUUCUUUCGCCUAAAAAGCGAGAGAAGUAAGGGCCGGGUAAGACGGGUGCCAGCCGCCGCGGUAAUACCCGCGGCCCGAGUGGUGCUCAUUAUUAUUGAGCUUAAAGCGUUCGUAGCCGGCCUCGUAAAUCCUUGGGUAAAUCGGGCAGCUCAACUGUUCGAAUUCCGAGGAGACUGCGAGGCUCGGGACCGGGAGAGGUCAGAGGUACUUCGGGGGUAGGGGUAAAAUCCUGUAAUCCUCGAAGGACCACCAGUGGCGAAGGCGUCUGACUAGAACGGAUCCGACGGUGAGGGACGAAGCCCUGGGGCGCAAACGGGAUUAGAUACCCCCGGUAGUCCAGGGUGUAAACGCUGCGGGCUUGGUGUCGGAGGUCCUACGGGGGCGUCCGGUGCCGGAGAGAAAUUGUUAAGCCUGCCGCUUGGGGGACGUACGGUCGACGACGUACGUAGUAAACGUAAGGUAGUUGGGACGGAGACGACCGACCGAACGGACGGGAGGACGGUCGUCGGUCCGGUAUU